UCUCUGGUGGUCCAGUGGCUGGGACUCUGCGCUCUCAGCGCCGAGGGCCCAGGUUCAAUCCCUGCUCAGGGAA
rnacentral:tRNA from 1 species